GCUCGGCUCAGAGGCAGCAGCACGCUCAGGCCAUGCGGCUGUCGUCAAUAUGAGCGGAAAUAUUUAUGUAUACGUGCUCUUCACUCUGUUGUUUAAUAAUACGUGACGAGAGGCUGCUGUUUACGCAUUAUGAGCCUAUUGAGCCUUUUAUACAGCCGUGAAAUCUGCGCGGCCACAUGACUGCUAGGCCCCAGCCUCGUGGAAAGGUGGAGGACUGGUGGUACCCUUGUGGCCUGUGCACACCCUUGUGACUGGACUGCAGAGGCCUGACUCUCCCAUUGAGCCGGCCCUGAUAAGUGAGCGGAUCUCUGAAUACCACCUCCGAAGCCUGCCUGGGUAAGCAUCAUGAAAAUCAACGGAAAGGCUCAUGAAUGGUCAAAUGAUUUUAAUGCUUCAGACUUCUUAUCAAUAAUGAAGACGACAUACAUCUGUUGACUCACUGCAUUUUUAUGAAGUUUUUCUUUGUGUAAUCAAACUCAUCAAGCAGUAAUUGAGACCUUUACACUGUGACUCAAAUAAAGCACUUUCCCACAAC